rnacentral:rRNA from 1 species
UACGUAGGGUGCAAGCGGUAAUCGGAAUUACUGGGCGUAAAGCGUGCGCAGGCGGUUAUGCAAGACAGAUGGGAAAUCCCCGGGCUCAACCUGGGAACUGCAUUUGUGACUGCAUGGCUAGAGUACGGUAGAGGGGGAUGGAAUUCCGCGUGUAGCAGUGAAAUGCGUAGAUAUGCGGAGGAACACCGAUGGCGAAGGCAAUCCCCUGGACCUGUACUGACGCUCAUGCACGAAAGCGUGGGGAGCAAACAGG